AAUAUGCAUAGUAUUUUAAAAGCAAUACGACCUAAGCCCUAUGCCUAUGAGUUUAUUUUAUGCACCUUUUAUUGAAUUAGCCACAUUUUUAAUGCAGUUAAAUACACUUAAAAAUUAUAGCCAAAUAUGGAUUAGUAACAAAAAUAAUGUUUAAAUGCAAUGCAAUACAAUAUAAUGCAAGUUGCCAUACACAAUCCUGACAUAUCAUCAAAGAAAAGUGUUUUAGAGUUGGAAAAUUUAGAGCACGCUUACAAUAAUUACGUGAAUCACGUAAAGUGUUUUGGAUUAUUCUUGGGAUGCUCAAAAGUGAUUUGAAAAAGUUAAAACAUAAUUUUAAUGUUUGGUAAAUUUUGUUAGAAAUUAUUUUUGGUAAAAUCUUUUAAAAGUUAGGGAAAGAGUAUAUUUUCAAAAUCUGAUUUUGAGAAUCAAUUUUGUUGGUGGUAAAAUGUAGACCAAAAGCAUUAAAGGCAUGACAAAUAGAGAACGUUAUUAUGGACUAUGAUAAAAGAUGAAGGGGAGAUUGAGAAGGGAAAAUGAAAUCCUCAACCACCUAAAUUACGCAAGAGUGACAAAAUGUUGCCUCUUACAAAAUAUCUAGGUUGCCACGUGUCUAUAUGGUACUAUAAAAUAAUGACAACACGCCAGCAUCACCAGGCCACGCAGCUAUCGUUCAGUCCUUUCUAGCACUGUCUCCAAAGUACCUCCUUGUGAGUUGCCAAAGUUAGGACUAAGAAAGGGUACAGACAAACCACACACACCAUCCCCAGUAAAAUCAUGUGCUCCUCAGCCCUAUUGGUUCAUUCAAAAAAGACAAAUUAGAGUUAAGGGCACACUGUCAGCACAAAUUGUUCCUAGCUGGAUAGUUGUCUAGCCUAAGCAAGCUUAAAAGCCUCUACAAAAGGAGCCAAAUUACUCUUAAGAUCUCAUCUGAGGAGGGGAAUCACCAAUAAGGGUUCGCCAUGUGUCUAAAAGGACAUAAAGACGCCCUUAAGGGCACUCCACUUUAAAAGGUCAGGUUGGUCUCACUAAAGGGUAAGUUCAAUCUUUUACAGAAAAACACCCAACCUCCAACUGACUUGACAGUUGGAGUGCUAUUACCGGUCACUGCUAACACCGCCUUUAAUAGUUGUUUCUUGUGAUUUUAGGUUCGCCUUAGCUGUUAUUGUCCCUUGAAAACAGAUAGCCCAUCUCCAUCUUCACCAAAAAAUCGCACUUUGUAAUGUUUUGGGCUAAACUAAAAUCAAGCUAAAACAUUUUGACGUUGUCUAAGGGAUGACAAACAAGAAUCCAUUGUUCUAAUCUCCAUUGACAAAGAGAGCUUCUCACCUUAGAAAAAAAAAACCAUCUUUUCUUCUCAAACAUACUAUUGUUCUCUUAAAAAGAACCCAUUCUUCUCCAAGAAGAUAUGAUUUUUCUCUAAAAAAGUUACUCUUCUUCAUAAAGACUUGAUUUUUCUCUACAAAGAUAUGGUUUUUAUCCACAAAAGUAAAUUUUCUUCAUAAAGACUUGAUUUCUGUCUACAAAGAUGUGAAUUUUCUCCACAAAAAUGCCAUUUUUAUUCACAAGAUAAAAACCUCUCAAACACCAUAAACAAGGUCAUAUAAGAUGUCAACAAAAAGUGACCACUGAAAGAAUCCCAGAGAGACUGUCUCAGGCUAAGAAGACUUCCUUGGGGGAGUACUAAAUACGAAGAACUCCUAGAGAGACCGUGUCAAAAUAAGAAAAUCUCCUCAAGGGAGCUCCAGAUAAGAAGAACUCCUUAAGAGAUCGCCUCAGACUAAGAAGACCUCCUUGAAAGAGCCCUAAAGUAAGAAGAAUGGCCAGGGCGAUCGCCUCAGAUAAAAAGAACUACCAAACGAAGCCAUAAAGUAAGGAAAACUCCUUAACAAGAGAGACUAUCCUAGAGUGAUCAUCCCAGAGUGAGAGGGACUCAUAAAAGAGCCCUCGAAUAAGAAGAGCUCCGAGAAAGAUCCUUAAGAAAAAUCCCCAGUAGAGGGAUCACCCAUGAGUGGAAGAACCCGUUAAAAAAGGGAUCAUCCCUCAAAUAAAACAAGAACGCGUUGUUCUAUUUAAAAUUUCAACAUAAUAAGAAAGUCGCCAUUUUUUAGAGUGCACUUCAGACCCCUAAGUAUCUAAAACAGCGUGGAGUUCACCUUAAAUGCGGAUUUGUUCGAGUGUCCAAGAUGUUGAGAAGGUCCUCUUACUUAAAAGCCUGCCAAAAAUUCCUCAACUCCCUCUUUUUAGUAUUCCCGAUUAUCUUUCUAACUUUACUUUUAUUUUUAAAAUUUAUAUAUUUUAAACAUACUAUUCACACUUAAUGCUUAAAGGCACCUCAACGAUCCCUCAUAUGAUCGAUCCUCUCUUAGAAAGACAUCAUGAUUUCAUCUCGCUUAGGCACCAUUUAUAAUUUGUUUGAGGUUUUUAUUGAUAAAAGCAUGCUUUUACCUUCUUGAUUGAUUGUGUUUAUAGCAUAAUAAGGACCUAUAAGGGCGGCCAUGAUCAUUUUUUUCGAUAUUUUACAUAUAUUUGAUUGCAUUUGAAUUUCAUGAGAUCCCCAAAGGGAUAUUAUAGACACCGUUGAAUUGAUUGACAUCCUUUGGGUCAUAAAAAUCCCAAAACCACUUGCCUAAGAUUUGAUUGAAUGUGAUUUUGUUUAUAAUUAGACAUAUUGAGACCAUUUAAGGUUAAGAGUCCCUAAAUCUUUUAAGGUCAGAGCUAGCAUCUAGGCAACAGACACUAACUUGACAUGCGUAUUAAGGAACUUGAGUUCCAUUAUGUUUUAUGAUUAUGUGAACCUUAUUUUUGCUUGUAUCUGGUUGUUCUUUAUCAUGUUUUCAAUACAUUGGAUGGGAUAUGUUUUUAUAAAUAACUAAUCAGGGGAAGAUCCCACACAACUAUAUGAGACGUACCUCAAAUUGAUUCUACUUUAAAUCAAGGGAAAAUCUCACGUCACUAUCUGAGAUGUUCCAUAGAACAAUUCCACUUCAAGUCAAGAGAAGAUUUAACAUAACUAUCUGAGGUAUUCCCCAUAUCAAUUUUGCUUCGUGUCAAGAGAAGGUCUCAUGUAACUAUCUAUGUUACUCAGAUCAAUUCUAUUUCAAGUCAAAGGAAUCUCAAGUUACCAUCUGAGAGAGUCCCCAGACCUAUUUUACUUUAAGCUAAAAAGAAUAUCCUACAUAAUUAUUUAGGACGUCCUUAGACCCUCUAGUUUAUGAGAAAACCCCAAGAAGUUAUAAAAAGGUCUUGAAAAUUCUUAUGCUCUUAUUGAAGAACCUGUAUUACUAAGGGAUAGAGCCAGGGGGAUAGAGUGAUAGGCCCACUUAUGACUUAAAGCAUGCUCGAAAAUAGAAUCCCAGCCAAAUAAAAAACACAAUCGACACUCCUGAUAAAGAAGACCAUUUAGUUAGAUAGUCACUCGUGACUUCCUCAAUCACAAGGCUCUCAAUCCUUCAGUCCAACACCACUGACAAUCAUCUUCUUUGACGAUGACAUCGAUGGAAUACUUUAUCCCUAUGAUGAUGUACCUAUGAUCAUUAUGGGUAUCCCAUCCCAAUGGAUAUCAUCUUUGUCGGUAUCUUACGUUGAAUGAACAUAAAAUCUAUAAAUAUGUGCUUGUAGAAGACCCAAUUAGCGGGAUUUGCGGGCGAGACAAUUAUGCUUAAAGGAAUCGUAUCUUUACCAGUUAUUUUAACUAACAGUAAUCACAAUAUUGUUUAUCUUGUUGAUUUUUUAAUUGUCCACAGGGAAAACGCCUAUAACUAUAUUGUCAGCCGCCCAUAAGCAGCCGCACCUAAUGUGUUAUCCUUAAGCAUUAAUUGGCUAUAAAAUUCCCCACCGCAACAAGCACCAUCACUAUCGAAGCACGUAAAAGGUUGUGAAGCUAGUCCAAUCCUACAAAAGAAAUGUUCUUUAAAACAUACAUGGCCUUGACUAAGGCCUACUACUGCCAAUAUAAGUAUAUCUCUAAAACUUUGAGAGAUCACCCUAAGAAAGGGUCGUGGUAAAAUAGAGCCAAACAAUAGGGCCCCGAAUAUAUGGGUCAAUCUUAUAAGAUUAUCUCCUACUCUAUUGGUAUCCUCUCUUUAAUUGAUCAAGGCUAUGAGAUCGUCUUUUAUCUAUGAGGACCGUUCUAACCUCAACUUUUUCCCUCAUUCACUAUUAGUAAAAUAUUCUUCAGAACUUAGUGCGUUUGACAUCAUCUAUAGAUAUUCCUCUCAAUCAAAGCAUAAGUCAUCAUUGAUUUCAAAGUUAAAUUCACUGAUGACUUGGCAGGGAUGAAAUAGGGAUAAGAGGUGAUCUCUAACAAGACAAACACUAAGAAAACGAACUCUCUGGCCAAUGGCUUAAUAAGAAUGGUCAAGCUAUCUUUUCCUAAAACCGUUAUUAUAGAAAAGACGCUCAAACCUUGUUGGGGAUCAUCCCCAUGAGAUAGAAUCUGUAGUCAUUUAAGGAUCUUCAAUAAGCCCCAUAAUUAAUUGGUUGUAAAAGGAAACCAUCCCCAAAAAGAAAAAUGAAGCUCGAAGACUCAAAUUCAGAGCUUUUAAAUACUGUCUAAUUGGGGAUGAACUAUAUUGUUGAGGACUCUCAACUCUUUAUCUUAAAUGCCUUGAGCCUUCUUAUACUAAUUAUUAUGCUUGGAGAAAUUAAAAAAAGGACAACACUCUCGGUGCAAAUAGGGAAGGUCUUUAUAAAGUUGAACGGGUUCUCAAAUUUAAGACAUACAUACUACUGCACCUCGAGAGGAAAAAGGUCAAGCACCUUUGGAAUGUCAUCAUGCUCAGAGCAUAUUACCAAGAGGAUCAUUUCAAUAGGCAAUCUCCAAAAGGGUCAGUAUAUUUAUUUACUUUUGUAGUUUUCAACCUUAUUUUUAUUUCCUGUUUUAUACUGCAAGUGAUAACCUAAGAAAAAGCCUCUUAUGACUUCGAGUGGAUCAUACUCGAUUUAAGUAACACCAAUAUUAUAAUAUUUAGAUGGGGCAUACAUGUCAUCUUUUUCUCAACCAUUUGGACGAGGCGUGCAUGCUACCACUUUCUCAACUAUUCGGAUGAGGUGUACAUGUUGUCUCUUUCUCAACCAUUUGAAUAAGGCAUACAUGCCACUUUUUUUCUUAAUAAAGAAGUAUUAUUCAACAAUAUAUGUGUCAAACCGUUAAUUUAUCUUCUAAUGUGGCUACAACACUUGAAAAAGGGCGUUAUCUAUAAGCCUUUGGAAUCUUUGCAAGCUAUAAAGAAAGUCUCACAUGCAGAGGGCAAAAUCCCCACUUUGCAGAGACAUGUUCUCUUAUCUUUAGUAUCUCUAUAGUAAGGGCCCAUACAUGAUAGGAUCAACCCCAUAUGGCGAUGAAGGUAUCUAGUAAUCUCUAUAUAAAAGCCUACGAAUGAUAAGAUCAACCCUACAUGGCGGUGAAGGGAGCCGUUGAUCUCAUUAUAAGGGCCUACAUAUAAUAGGAUCAACCCCAGUGAUCUCUAGUGAAAGGGCUCACACAUGAUGGGAAUACCCAACAUGGUGCUCAUGGGACCUCAUAAUCUUUACAAAAUCAAUACAGAUUUUGUACAUGAGAAGGGCGCCCUUCUCGAAAAGCAACUGCCUCUAUGCGAGGCCAUAUCUAGGUGAAGCCACUUCCGGGUGAAGUCAUCUCGAUUCGCUGCCUUCAGACGUGAUUGCAAUUGGGUGAAGAUACCUCCAAGCACAAUCGCCUUCGGGUGAUGUUGUCUCGAUUCGUUGCCUUCAAGUGUGACCGCGUUUGGACUAAGAUGCCUUUAGGCGAAGUGGCCACCAGGAAAAAUAGCCUCCGGGCAAAACUACUUUCGGGCAUAAUCGCCUUUGGGUGAAAUCACUUUGGUUUGCAGGCUCUGGGCCUAACCACACCGUGACUACAUCUCACAUACAAGGUUGAGAGGUGAAAGUCAAACUUGGAUCAUAAGGAUGGUCUGACACCUCUAAAACCAUUUCUUCAGGAAUCUAGGAGAAAUCCUCCUUUUUUUGCAAAUAAUUCAAAGAUUUUCUUAGGAUCACGAAGUGUUCAUGUCAUUUGGGCAUAAGAAAAAUACGAGGUAUUUCUCUACAACUGUAUUGGGAUGGUCCACCUGGAUAGCAUAAAGAUAAUUUAUUAUAAUGCGCUGAGCCUGCUGCUUUGAGUUUAGUGCCUACACUUCAGCCUUCUUUUUGGCCCUCUUCGCUUCGCCACAGAUAGAAUCCAAUUCCUUCUUAAAAAGAGGUAUUUCUCUUCGUAGGACCUUUGUCGUGGAUCAACUACUUCCUUGUGAAGCUUUGUCAUCACAGAUCUGGUCCAUGACUUGGGCAUGAAACAUGAUAACCUAUAGGGAAAAAAAAAUGUCUCGUGUGAGAUAUUAGCAUGCUAAAAACACUGUCAAAAGUAUAAGAUACGGUCGGGGCCAACUAACAACCAACUUGGUGAGAACCUCUUGUGGCUUCAUCUUCUGCGUAUUCUAAGGAGGAUCCAUAAGUUGAACUUGUAGCCCUCUUUGUAGAGCUCAAUGCUCCAUUCUGGCUGACUUAAAGAGAACCUUCCUUUAUCUUAGAUGUCUUUCCCUCAGAAGAGCUAUCUAACAUACAAAGAAGAGAGCGAUCGAAGGUUACUAAAAGUGGCUUGAAAAGUAAUAAAGGCACGUCACUCAGAACAAAAGACAUUCUUCAAAAUAAAAUAAACAGUCUCGAAAUAGCAAAGGACAUUCUCCAAAUUAUUAAAGACAAACCUCGACCCAACUGAGGUUGAUCCUCAAAGACAAGGGAUAACCCUAGAGGCUAUGAGAGUUUAUCCUCCAAAGAUUGUAGAUGGUCCCCUAAACAUUAUAUGCAAAUAAAUAAGAAGAAGAAGGCCCAUAAAACCUUCUACUUUAGGAUCCUCUCUGAUCUUAGUCAUCCAUAGGCCUAUUUUCUAGAUUUUAUCUUAGGUUGUGAUAUUCCUUAAGGUCUUCACGUACACUCCCCCUUUAGAUUCUUAACAAGUCUAAUGGUCAGAUCCUUGUCCUAUGGGCUUGCCUUCUACACUUUUACCUUUGCAAAACAAGGGAUUCAUGCGAGGAAAAAAAAGACAAAGCCGCCAGAAGAAUGAUCGAACUCACAAAAGGGGGAGCGACGAGCUUCUUUUUCCACAGCACAAAUAAGGAAUUUCGUUAAAAGAUGUCGAGAUAAACCCCACUAAGAUUGUCCCUAUAGGAGAUCUUCCCAUGUGUCAUGAUCCUUCAAGCAAAAUAUAGGAAUCUUGUUGGUAGAAAAUAUAGGCUAGAGGUAUUAAGGGCAUGACAAAUGGAGAGUGUUAUUCGGGAUUGUGAUAAAAAAUGAAAGAGAAGUUGAGAAGGGAGGAUGAAAUGGGAAGAUCUCGAAGAACAGGCUUCAACCACUUAAAUUGCCCAAGAAUGAGAAAAUGUUACCUUCUACAAAAUAUCUAAGUCGCCACGUGUCUAUACGGGACCACAGAAUAGUGACAACUACAUUAGAGUCGCUAGGCCACGUAGCUACCAUACGGUCCCUGCUUGAACUAUCUCCAAAGUAUCUCCUUGCGAGUCGCUAAAGUCAAAAUUAAGAAAGGAGGACCAUACACAAAUUAUCUGCACCAUCCCUAGUGAAAUCAUGUGCUCUUUAGUCCUAUUGAUUCAUUCAAAAUGGGCCAAUUAGAGUUAAAAGCACACUAUUAGCAUAGACUGUCCCCAAAUGGACAGCUGUAAAAACUAAACAAGCUCAAAAGUCUCUAUAAAAGGAGCCAAAUUACUCUUAAGACCCUAUGUGAGGAGGGGAAUCACCAAUAAUUUGCUACGUGUCCAAAAGGACAUAAAAAUGCCAUCAGAGGCACUUCACUUUAAUAGGUCAUAUUGGUCUCACUAAGGGGUAAGUUCACUCUUUCACCAAAAAUAACUCAGCUCUUCUCAUAUUCCAAAGUUUUUUGCAAACCCAUCAUCUCCUCCAACCUCCCAUUGACUUGACAGUUAGAGUGUUGUCGCCAACACCUCUAAUGACUGUUUCUUGUGAUUUCAGGUUCGUCUUAGCCGUCACUGUGCCCUGAAACCGUCUUCAAAGAACCCAUCACCAUCUUCACUAGAAAAUUACCCUUUGUAGAGAAGCUUCCAUAAUGCUUUGGGCUAAACCAAAAUUAGGCCAAAACAAAUUUUAUACCUAGUACAAUUCCAUAUAUAUCAUUAUAUA
rnacentral:lncRNA from 1 species